GGUAACUCUGUCGUUAUUUAUCGGCCGUCAUGAAAUAAAAAUAAGGGGUAACACUGUCGAUAUUUAUCAAAUAAAACAUAGGGGGUGACACUGUUGUUUUCUUUGGUCGUCAUGAAAAUAAACACAAGGGGUAACACUAGUUUUUAUCAAUUGAAACAUGCGGGGUAAUACUGUCGUUUUUUAUCGGUCGUCAUGAAAAAAAACAUAAGGGGUAACACUGUUGUUUUUUAUUGGUCGUCAUUAAAAAAAACAUAAAGGGGUAACACUGUUGUUUUCUAUUGGUCAUCAUGAAAAAAAACAUAAGGGGUAACACUGGUGUUUUUUAUUGGUCGUCAUGAAAAAAAACUUAAAGGGUAACACUGUUGUCUUUGUCGAAUAAAAUAUAAGGGGUAACACCAUCGUGUUUUAUUGGUCGUCAUGAAAAAAAACAUAAGGGGCAACACUGUAGAUAUUUAUCAAUUAAAACAUAGGGGGUAACACUGUCGCUUUUAUCUGAUGAAACAUGAGGGGUGACACUGACGUUUUCCUUUGGUCGUCAUGAAAAAACCAUAAGGGGUAACACUUGUUUUUUAUUGGUCGUCAUGAAAAAAACCAUAAGGGGUUACACUGUUGUUUUUUAUUGGUCGUCAUGAAAAAAAACAUAAGGGGUAACACUGUUGUUUUUAUUGGCCGUCAUGAAAAACAACAUAAGGGGUAACACUGUUGUUCUUUAUUGGUCGUCAUGAAAAAAAAAAAGGGGUAACACUGUUGUCUUUGUCAAAUAAAAUAUAAGGGGUAACACUGUUGUUUUUUAUUGGUCGUCAUGAAAAAAAACAAAAGGGGUAACACUGUCGAUAUUUAUCAAUUAAAACAUAAGGGGUAACGCUGUUGUUUUUUAUUGGUCGUCAUGAAAAAAACAAAAGGGGUAACACUGUCUAUUUAUCAAAUAAAACAUAGGGGGGUAAGACUGUUGUUUUAUAUAACCUCAGACAAAAUUAAAUUGCAAAUCUCAGUGGGAAGUGGAGAGAGCUGUGAGCUAACCCCCUCGAGACUGGGGUUCAAGUCCGGUUGAUGUCUUCUGUUGGAAGAUUCAUGUGAAUUAUAAAGUCAAGCAUAACCUUUGUGAUGACUUUAUCCGGUGUCUUGAUGGUGCAUUGCUAAGUUCGGGGGUUAACACUCUAAGCAGCUCUUGUUCAGAUCCACGCAAAAACGUCCACAGGGGUACCACUGUUGCUAUUUAUUGGUCAACAUGGAAAAGACAUGAGGGGUAACUCUGUCGUUAUUUAUCGGCCGUCAUGAAAUAAAUAUAAGGGGUAACACUGUCGAUAUUUAUCAAAUAAAACAUAGGGGGUGACACUGUUGUUUUCUUUGGUCGUCAUGAAAAUAAACACAAGGGGUAACACUGUAGUUUUUAUCAUUUGAAACAUGCGGGGUAACACUGGCGUUUUUAUCGGUCGUCAUGAAAAAAAACAUAAGGGGUAACACUGUUGUUUUUUAUUGGUCGUCAUGAAAAAAAACAUAAAGGGUAACACUUGUUUUUUAUUGGUCGUCAUGAAAAAAAACAUAAAGGGUAACACUGUAGAUAUUUAUCAAUUAAAACAUAGGGGGUAAAACUGUCGUUUUUAUCAAAUGAAACAUGAGGGGUGACACUGUCGUAUUCCUUUGGUAGUCAUGAAAAAAACGAUACGGGGUAACACUGUUGUUUUUUAUUGGUCGUCAUGAAAAAAAACAUAAGGGGUAACACUGUUGUUUUUUAUUGGUCGUCGUGAAAAACAACAUAAGGGGUAACACUGUUGUUUUUUAUUGGUCGUCAUGAAAAAAAAACAUAAGGGGUAACACUGUUGUUUUUUAUUGGUCGUCGUGAAAAAAACAUAAGGGGUAACACUGUUGUUUUUUAUUGGUCGUCAUGAAAAAAAACAAGGGGUAACACUGUUGUUUUUUUAUUGGUCGUCAUGAAAAAACAUAUAAGGGGUAACACUGUUGUUUUUAUUGGUCGUCAUGAAAAAAAACAUAAGGGGUAACACUGUCGUUUUUUAUUGGUCGUCAUGAAGAAAAACAUAAGGGGUAACACUGUCGAUAUUUAUUAAUUAAAACAUAGGGGGUAACACUUUCGUUUUUAUCAAAUGAAACAUGAGGGGUGACACUGUCGUUUUUCUUUGGUCGUCAUGAAAAAAUACAUUGGGGGUAACACAGUUGUCUUUGUCAAAUAAAAUAUAAGGGGUAACACUGUCGUAUUUUAUCGAAGUUAGAAAAUCCAGUAUCGUGACUGACAACACUACUAGAAACGCGAUUGUGAUUAUUCAGUUAGAGCUACAAGAAACUUGAAAGUUAAAGAAGACAUAUCUUUGCUACUACCUCUGACAUUUAGUUAUGUACAUUUGCAUAAAAUCAUGCAGGUCUACAUAUAACUUGGCGAUAGCUUUAAUAGGUUGCAACGGUGGACUGAUAUCACUUCAUGGCACGAUGUGACCUCUCGAUAAAUAAGGAAAAAAAGAGAAGUUUGUUCUUUUUUAAACACAACAUGUGUGGAAGCUAACAUUCAGCUUCAGUCUGAGCUAGGAUGAUUUUUCUAAGCCCCCCCCGAAACCAGGCCGGGUGCCUGGCAAAAAGAGGCCCGUUCAUGAUUCUGAUUAUAAUUUGGGCAAGUGAACAUUACAUUCGGGCAAGUUGAACCUGACCUGUACUUGCCCGAUGGGCAAGUGCUUUUAAAACCUUAGUGUCAACCCCAGAUUGUGUUUAUUUCCUUUAGUACAUAGUAUAAAGUGGAGUGGAAAGCACAAGAUUAAGAGUAAUAAAAUCUGGAACUUAAAUCGGUCGAUUCAAUCAUACUAUACUGCAGCAGUCAAAAAAUGAGAUCCAUCAUUUAAAUUCCACAUUUAUUAGAACAAAGAUUCUACUAAACCUUUUUAUUUUUCUUCAAAGUCUCCUUCAACCUAUGGUUUGUGGCGUUGCAUAGGUAUUCUACCUAAAGAGUUAUUCGGUCAUGGGUCAAGAAAGAACAAGGACAAUACAUUCAGGAUAUCGAGUGUGAACAGAAGUGAAAUUAACGUUUGAUCAAAUUAAGACAAAUGGAUGUGUGUGUGUGUGGCGUGUAUUCUAAUGCGGACACCUUCUCUCCGUCUCACAUCUCACAUCAGCAUUUCCUUCUUUUAAAAAAGUGCUUGCUAGUUUCAUAUAAAGCUAGUGUUCAUGAACAAUGGAACACAGUGGUUGUUGCCUGGCAGUUUGUUGGUACCUGUGAUUACAGGUUGACGACUUUAGAUUCGACAGCAGAGUGUACCGACGUUGUGUUGAAACAAAAAUGGUUGAGAAGUAUAUAGGUUUAGGUACAUGUCCCUACCUAAACAUCACCAAUUCGGGAAGGAAUCGAGCAAUGCUUGUCUCUAGGUCCCUGCAUUGCUUUGUCCACUAACACUGAAUAAACAACAAACUGACCUACAUUUUCCUUCUCACCGUCAUAAGAAUAUUCGAGAAAUUGUUAAAAAUACCACAAAGCAAAGGGUUACAUUUUUUGGCAAUGGCAGGAAUACAUGGUGAAAGAAAAAAGGCAUGUGGAUAAGCGUAUUCAGGACUCAAGUUGUAAAUAGAUUACUGGAAACAUCUCCUUACACACGUGGCUUCCCUCUUUAAUACUCUGGGGAGCUUAAUGCCUUCUUUCAUCUUCCUGCAGCCAAACAGUGGCUCCCUCGAGUGGGGUAGUGGGGGUCGUGUCCCUCCCUGUAUGCAUCCCCUCCUAUGCAUGUUCAAAAUAUCUCUGGGCUUCAUCCAACAGAGAUAUAUUUGCAUCGCCGAGCGUGAGCUGAGUGCACCCUCUGCCUAAUCACCUCUAUGCUACGCAGAGGAUACACACACACACACACACUCGAACACACACACACUCGAACACAGAGGACCCCCCCCCUCAGGGUAAACGUAAUAUUGUGUAUUGCACAGGAAGUGUGUCUGUGUGUGUGUGCAUGGUAUUAUUACAUAGCUAAUGCCUGUGAUUAGAGGGUGAACGUAGUUGGAAAACAAGGGUGCAUUAGGAAGGGGUGGGAACCGAGGCAUUUCCCUUGAUGAAAAUAAAUUACUAGGCUGAUGAAAGCUCACCGUGGCACAAUAACAGACAUGGAGACAACACACUGCCGUCCACGUCGUGUGCAAAAUCAAUGAGACCCUAGUACCAACAUCGUGGUGUGACCGGGUACAUUCAUGUUCUAGCGGUUAAAAAUAAAAUAAAAUAAAAACAUCCACAAACGGUGAGGUGUCCGGUUUUGCCGCCGGCCUCGAUGACAAAGCGGCGGCCAUUUUGUUGUUGACGCGCGGAGGCGUGCGCUCGGAGGAACCACGUUGAGCCUGGCGACGACAACGCUUUGUGUGUGAGACGCACAUCUGCCGUCCCCCGGGCAGAUCUGUGAUGGCGGCCUUGCCAAGCGGUUAGAUUUGGAUUUGUUUUAAAGCUGCAUGACAACGAAAGGCUUUGGAAUGUGAAAAAAUAGACACUGAGUGCGCACACACACACACACACACACGCACGCACGUGAGGAGAGCAGCACAAACACCGGUGGCGAAUGUCUUUGAGUGCGCAAGAAAAAAAAACUAAAUAUAUAUAGAAAUACUCUCACGCGAUACUAUCAUAUAAAAAUGUAUACUAUAUUUGUCUGAUAAAGAACCCUGCAACGAGAAUCACCGAUACAGUGAUGACCCCCCCCUUCCCCCAACCCCGCCCAAACCAUUUGGCACCUGGUUCCCUUCCACGUUCCUCCUCAGUGUCUUUGCCAUCAGAGUGGAGGAGGAGGAGGGUGGGGCGAAGGGUUUUUAUUGAUAGUCCAGGGGGUAGUGGAGGUGCUGCGGUCAGGGAGACUUCCGCAGUGUGUUGUUGAAGGUCCAGCCUUCUCCCUGCACAUCGAGGGAAGAGGAGAGAGUUGGUGAACUGAGAAAAUAUAUUUUCAGUAUUUUGUUUCGUUUUAGCAGGUCACAAUUUUUUUGGACGUCUUCUCAACUUGGAUCGCUGCAGAGUUUGACAGAACGCUACGAUUGCCUCGGCUCAUUAUUUUAUCCUCGUACUCCAAUCUGCGCGGAGUUCACGGACGGUGGGGCACACAAAUUGAAACUCGGGAGCUGCUUUCGUGAUAAUAUCUUGUCGACGGAAAAGUGAUAGUGAAACGUUUUGAGGAACAAACCGAGGAGAGCAGACAACUUGUUGGAGGGGAAUUUGGAAAAUGUCACUAUUUGGAAUGUCUCAAAGUCAUGUCGGAAACAUCAC
ensembl:lncRNA